GAUGAACGCUGGCGGCGUGCUUAACACAUGCAAGUCGAACGAUGAAGCUCAGCUUGCUGGGUGGAUUAGUGGCGAACGGGUGAGUAACACGUGAGUAACCUGCCCUUAACUCUGGGAUAAGCCUGGGAAACUAGGUCUAAUACCGGAUAGGAGCGCCUACCGCAUGGUGGGUGUUGGAAAGAUUUAUCGGUUUUGGAUGGACUCGCGGCCUAUCAGCUUGUUGGUGAGGUAAUGGCUCACCAAGGCGACGACGGGUAGCCGGCCUGGGAGGGUGACCGGCCACACUGGGACUGAGACACGGCCCAGCCCCCUGCGGGGGGGAGGGGGGGGGAAUUUUGCAAAAGGGGCGAAAGCCUGAUGCAGGGACGCCGGGGGGGGGAUGAGGGCCUUCGGGUUGUAAACCUCUUUCAGUAGGGAAGAAGCGAAAGGGACGGUACCGGCAGAAGAAGCACCGGCUAACUACGU
rnacentral:rRNA from 1 species